rnacentral:lncRNA from 1 species
GUUNUGAAACAUUUUGAUUUUGUUACUGCAUACCUGAAUGCAAAACUGGAUCAUCAGGUGUUCAUGAGACCUCCACAAGGAUUUGAACCAGAAGACACUAGUAAAGUUUAUUUGCUGAAGAAAGCACUCUAUGGUCUAAAAGAAUCUGCGCGAUCAUGGCAUGACUGUUUGCAUCAAAGACUGAUUCAAUUGAACUUCAAACAGGCUGUAUCUGAUGCUUGUUUAUAUACAAGAGGUGUAGGAGAUAAGCAAGUUUAUCUGGUUGUUUACGUUGAUGACUUGAUGGUCACGUCAAUGUCUCCAGAAUUAAUUAAUGAACUGUACAAUCAACUGUCUGAAACUUUCGUUAUUAAGGAUUUGGGACAAUUAAAAUUUUACCUAGGUAUUGAUAUCAUACACAAAGAAGAAGGAGAAGUCUUACUAUCUCAAGAACGCAAAAUACAUGAACUAAUUGCCAAAGCUAAUCUAAAAGACGCUAAACCAGUUGCAACACCAAUGGUACCAGACUUCAUCAAAAGUACAUCAGAAGAUUUAUUUUCAGAUCCAUUCUUAUACCGGUCUAUCUUAGGAAGUGUAUUANACAUAGCUAAUUGCACUAGGCCUGAUGUCCUGUUUGCNGCCAAUUUUCUGAGUAGAAAAACAGUUAACCCUUCAGUAAAUGAUUGGCAAGGUGUAAAAAGAUUACUGAAAUAUUUGAAAGGAACUGCUAAUCAAGCAUUAUCAAUAAGACCUACUAUUGGACAAAGUUUAACUGCAAUUGCAGAUAGCAGCUUUGCAGAUGAUCAAUCAGACUACAAAUCAUGUUCAGGGUAUUUGAUUAAAUUCAAUUCAGUGCCAAUACUAUGGUCCUCACGAAAACAAUCCACUAUAUCACUUUCAAGCGCAGAAGCUGAAUUAACUGCAUUAUCAGAUUGUGUUUCAGAUUUAAUUUGGAUCAAACAACUGUUUACUGAUUUAAAUCAAAAAUAUGAUAUACCUGUAUUGUUGUAUAAUGAUUCCCAAACUAGUAUACAUUUAUCUCAAGUGAGUAAUUUGAAAGCAAGAACAAAAUAUCUGGGAGUAAAAUUUAACAGAAUCAGAGAAAUGGUUAAGGAUGGUGACAUUAAGUUACAGUAUGUUCCAUCAGAAGUCAAUACUGCUGAUUUACUGACAAAACCACUCAGCGUGGACAGGUUUAACAAACUGAAAGUUGAUUUAUGUAUAUUGUAAAUAGUCAAACAUUUUUAUUUCGGAAAAGCAUGGAAGGGGUGUUGAGAUAUGUAUAAAUAUCUAGACAUGCUUUCCUGAAUAAAAAGGUAUAAUUUGUAAAACGUGAUCCCA